CUGUGAUGAAAGGGGCUGCCAUGAAGGUCUCUGGCAUGGCCUGGAGACAUUUUCCCCAUGGUCUCAGGGAUUAAUGUCUUGAUAUCUUAUAGACUCUUAACAGUAGUAGGUGAAAUUAGUAAGAAAAGUGUGGGGUUACAGAGAAAAGGACUGGUUCUAUGAAAAUGAUUUGUAGAUUCUUGAUACUUUGGAAAUUAGGCUCCUUACUAUUUACUCAAAUUUCUGUAGCCAGCUUGAAUUUCUCCCCAGAAAAUGGAUUUUUCUUUUCUAUCACAUAGGCUGCAAAUUUUUUCCAAACUUUUAUGCUCUGCUCCCCUUAUAAAACUGAGUGCCUUUAACAGAACCCAAGUCACCUCUUGAAUGCUUUGCUGCCUAGAAAUUUCUUCCACCAGAUACCCUAAAUCAUCUUUCUCAAGUUCAGAGUUGCACAGACCAACCUCUAAGGCAGGGGCAGAAUGCCAUCAGUCUCUUUGCUAAAACAUAACAAGAGUCACCUUUACUCCAGUUCCCAAAAAAUUCCUUCUCUAUGUCUGAGACCACCACAUCCUGAACCUUAUUGUCUGUAUCACUAUCAGCAUUUUGGGCAAAGCCAUUCAACAAGUCUCUAGGUGGUUCCAAACUUUCCCACAUUUCCUGUCUUCUUCUGAGCCUUCCAAACUGUUCCAACCUCUGCCUAUUCCCCAGUUCCCAAGUUGCUUCUACAUUUUCAGGUAACUUUUGAGCAAUACCCUACUCUGCUGGUACCAGUUUACUUUAUUAGUCUGGUUUCAUGCUGCUGAUAAAGACAUACCGGAGACUUAGAAGAAAAAGAAGUUUAAUUGGGCUUACAGUUCCACAUGGCUGGGGAGGCCUCAGAAGCAUGGCGGGAAGGUAAAAGACUUCUUACAUGGUAGCAGCAAGAGAAAAAUGAGGAAGAAGCAAAAGUAAAAACCUAUGAUAAACCCAUCAGAUCUUAUGAGACUUAUUAACUAUAACGAAAAUAGCACGGGAAAGACUGGCCUCCAUAAUUCAGUUACCUUGCCCUGGGUCCCACCCACAACAUGUGGGAGUUCUGGGAAAAACAACAGGAGAUUUCGGUG